rnacentral:rRNA from 1 species
UACGAAGGGGGCUAGCGUUGCUCGGAAUCACUGGGCGUAAAGCGCACGUAGGCGGGUUGCUAAGUCAGGGGUGAAAUCCUGGAGCUCAACUCCAGAACUGCCUUUGAUACUGGCGACCUCGAGUCCGGGAGAGGUGAGUGGAACUGCGAGUGUAGAGGUGAAAUUCGUAGAUAUCGGGAGGAACACCAGUGGCGAAGGCGGCGACCUGGACGGACACUGACGCUGAGACGCGAAAGCGUGGGGAGCAAACAGG